GAAAUAUUUAAAUGUAAGCUUCUAACUUAAAUAAAAGCAGAAUAUCUGUUUAUAUUUCU
rnacentral:tRNA from 1 species